rnacentral:rRNA from 1 species
AUACGUAGGUGGCGAGCGUUGUCCGGAAUUAUUGGGCGUAAAGGGCGCGUAGGCGGGCUUGCAAGUCAGAUGUGAAAUACCGAGGCUCAACUUCGGGGCUGCAUUUGAAACUGCGAGUCUUGAGUGAUGGAGAGGCAGGCGGAAUUCCCAGUGUAGCGGUAAAAUGCAUAGAUAUUGGGAAGAACACCAGUGGCGAAGGCGGCCUGCUGGACAUUAACUGACGCUGAGGAGCGAAAGUGUGGGGAGCAAACAGGAUUAGAUACCCUGGUAGUCCACACCGUAAACGAUGGAUACUAGGUGUGCGGGGACUGACCCCCUGCGUGCCGCAGUUAACACAAUAAGUAUCCCACCUGGGGAGUACGAUCGCAAGAUUGAAACUCAAAUGAAUUGACGGGG